GAUGAACGCUGGCGGCGUGCCUAACACAUGCAAGUCGAGCGAAGCGGGGACGGGUGAGUAACACGUGGAUAAACCCCUAUAAGACUGGGAUAAAUUCGGGAAAACGGUGCUAAACCGGAUUCUUAGAGAAGGAUAUGCGCUGCAUUAGCUAGUUGGUAAGGUAACGGCUUACCAAGGCAACGAUGCAUAGCCGACCUGAGAGGGUGAUCGGCCACACUGGAACUGAGACACGGGCCAGACUCCUACGCGAGGCAGCAGUAGGGAAUCUUCCGCAAUGGGCGAAAGCCUGACGGAGCAACGCCGCGUGAGUGAUGAAGGUCUUCGGAUCGUAAAGCUCUGUUAUUAGGGAAGCGGUACCUAAUCAGGAAGCCACGGCUAACUACGUGCCAGCCGCCGCGGUAAUUC
rnacentral:rRNA from 1 species